AUUGAACGCUGGCGGAAUGCUUUACACAUGCAAGUCGAGCGGCAGCGCGGGGGCAACCCUGGCGGCGAGCGGCGAACGGGUGAGUAACAUAUCGGAACGUACCCAGUCGUGGGGGAUAACUAUCCGAAAGGAUAGCUAAUACCGCAUACGUCCUGAGGGAGAAAGCGGGGGAUCGCAAGACCUCGCGCGAUUGGAGCGGCCGAUAUCGGAUUAGCUAGUUGGUGGGGUAAAGGCUCACCAAGGCGACGAUCCGUAGCGGGUCUGAGAGGACGACCCGCCACACUGGAACUGAGACACGGUCCAGACUCCUACGGGAGGCAGCAGUGGGGAAUUUUGGACAAUGGGGGCAACCCUGAUCCAGCCAUUCCGCGUGCAGGAUGAAGGCCUCGG
rnacentral:rRNA from 1 species